rnacentral:rRNA from 1 species
CACGUAGGGCGCAAGCGUUGUCCGGAAUUAUUGGGCGUAAAGAGCUCGUAGGCGGUCUGUUGCGUCCGCUGUGAAAACUCGGGGCUUAACCCCGAGCCUGCAGUGGAUACGGGCAGACUAGAGGUAGGUAGGGGAGAAUGGAAUUCCCGGUGUAGCGGUGAAAUGCGCAGAUAUCGGGAGGAACACCGGUGGCGAAGGCGGUUCUCUGGGCCUUACCUGACGCUGAGGCACGAAAGCUAGGGGAGCAAACAGG